rnacentral:rRNA from 1 species
GACGAACGCUGGCGGCGUGCUUAACACAUGCAAGUCGAACGGAAAGGCCCUGCUUUUGUGGGGUGCUCGAGUGGCGAACGGGUGAGUAACACGUGAGUAACCUGCCCUUGACUUUGGGAUAACUUCAGGAAACUGGGGCUAAUACCGGCUAGGAGCUCCUGCUGCAUGGUGGGGGUUGGAAAGUUUCGGCGGUUGGGGAUGGACUGCCGGCUUAUCAGCUUGUUGGGGGGGUAGUGGCUUACCAAGUCUUUGACGGGUAGCCGGCCUGGGAGGGUGACCGGCCACAUUGGGACUGAGAUACGGCCCAGACUACUACGGGAGGCAGCAGGGGAGAAUAUUGCACAAUGGGCGGAAGCCUGAUGCAGCAACGCCGCGUGCGGGAUGACGGCCUUCGGGUUGUAAACCGCUUUCGCCUGUGACGAAGCGUUAGUGACGGUAAUGGGUAAAGAAGCACCGGCUAACUACGUG